AAGAAAACACUUCUACAAACUCUCUCUCUAAAACGUCCAUACUCUCUCUCUAAGUGCUGAGCGAGUUGUCCGAAAGGCUGACUUAGCAAUUCAUAAGGGCGAAAGUUGCUAAGGCCGCACGUCCUGAUUACCGUGAAGAAAUCAGUCCGUGACAUGUCGCUGGCUUAGAGAGAGAGCAUAUCGUUAUGGUUAAAGAAAUCGAAGGAGUUUCUCUCCGAUACUAUCAUCAUUCAUCCUUGACGUUGAGGUGGUGUUUGCCGGCAGCAUGGUCAGUAAGAAGAACAAUGGAGAAGUAAGAUUGCCCAGUCAAGGGAAGAGGUGGAGUAGAUCGGGGUCGGGAUAAAAGAAAUCAUCGAAGAAGGCGAAGACAAUUUCACUGUUAGAUUUUGUUUAGAGAUUAUGGCCGG
rnacentral:lncRNA from 1 species